UUGCCCAGACGUAUAUUUUGUUCGACGGAACAUGUUUUGUUUCUUGUGUUAUUUGCUCUGUUUGCUUUCGUGUCAAGUCAAUUAAUAAUAAGUUGUAAAGUUCAGCAUCCUGGCAUUCCUGGCCGCAAUUCUCAAGUGAUCUGUGAUCAUCAUAUUACCUACUACUUCCUAGUUACUACCGCCUGCCAACACCAGAGACCAAGUUCUUCAAGAUCAGAAAGCACCGGAUGCGACAGAUGUUUACAUAAAAGAUGUAGUUGCAGAUUGGAUCAUUCAAGCUAAGACCAGGAGAAACCGGAAACUUUCACGAGCAUUGAAGAAGACUGAGAAUGUCAUUCAAGGAGAUGAGAAUGCUCAUAGCUAGAAUCCUGUAGACUGUAAUCCUGGAAUCCAAAAUCCACAAAAUGAAGAAAUCCUGUCAGCUGUUCACUCAGGCCUCGACAUAGCAUCUGUCAUGCUGUCUAGCUUAUAGAUUAUUGCUUAUGCAAUUUCACCGUCCCAGAAGAUGGACACUUUCUCCAAUCGUUCUUUUCUUUAUUUCCGUUUUUGUUAUAUUAUUUUUUUUUCGUUAUUAUUUUUGAUUUUUAUUUUCGUGUUAUCAGAUGAGGUACUAUUCUGAGAUACUAGAUGUAAUUUUCAAUUUAUUCCUUGGUUUCUCUCAGAACUGAAAAUAUCAGGGAUAAGUAAUUGUGUUAAUUGAGCAAAACAUAGCUUUAAUCAUUACUUACAUUAUUAUGCCACUUUUUCUAUGGAUACUCAUACAGAUACUUUAAGUUCCUUUUUUUUCAUUAACUACUAUUUUCUUCAUUUCCAUUCUUGUGAGAUUCUUUAAAUGUUUUUCUUGGUUUCUUUCAGAAACUGAAAUUAUGAGGGAUACAUAAUUUUGUUUUUUAUGUAAAACUUUGCCUUCAACAAUGGCAUUACUGUGCCUUUUUUCCUAUCGAUAUUCAUACAGAAACUUUAAGUUCCUUUUUUUUCUUUAACUGCCAUUUCCAUUCUUUUGAGAUAAAUUAGACUUUUUCAAUAUUUACGAAGUUUUCAUCGCAUACCUGUAAAUUGGAGAAAAACACUAAAAUUUUGACCCGAAUAUUGAACAAGUUGUUCGAAUAGUGCUGGGUCCACAUUAUUUUGCGGGGAAACAAAGUCAAAAGAAGUACUAAAAUUAAAUUAGAAUUUAUAAGUAUCAGAAUUUACUUUUAAAUUGUAAUUUAAUUUUUUUACUUCCUUUGGCUUUGUAUUCCUGCAGAAUAGUGUGGACCCAGCAAUAUUCUAACAACUUGUAACUUAGGUAAUGCUUGUUUCACACUGUGUUGACCUCAGUUUCCUUUGAGUUUUUUCUCCUUAUUCUCAUUCGUUGCUGGCUUAGGUAAAAUUAGCCAGCUAAUCAUUGCGAAGACGCUUUUAAAUAUUCUGACAAUUUUAAGCUACAACUUAAUUUGUUACAAUCUUUGUGCAUUUGUUCGUGCCUUUCCUGGAGUCUGAUAUUUAUUU
rnacentral:lncRNA from 1 species